AGCUGAUCCUCUUCGGAGGUGACGCUUGUGGAACGAGCGGCGGACGGGUGAGUAACACGUGGGCAACCUGCCUGUAAGACUGGGAUAACCCCGGGAAACCGGGGCUAAUACCGGAUAAUACUUUUCAUCACCUGAUGGGAAGUUGAAAGGUGGCUUUUAGCUACCACUUACAGAUGGGCCCGCGGCGCAUUAGCUAGUUGGUGAGGUAACGGCUCACCAAGGCAACGAUGCGUAGCCGACCUGAGAGGGUGAUCGGCCACACUGGGACUGAGACACGGCCCAGACUCCUACGGGAGGCAGCAGUAGGGAAUCUUCCGCAAUGGACGAAAGUCUGACGGAGCAACGCCGCGUGAGUGAUGAAGGUUUUCGGAUCGUAAAGCUCUGUUGUUAGGGAAGAACAAGUGCCGUUCGAAUAGGGCGGCACCUUGACGGUACCUAACCAGAAAGCCCCGGCUAACUACGUGCCAGCAGCCGCGGUAAUACGUAGGGGGCAAGCGUUGUCCGGAAUUAUUGGGCGUAAAGCGCGCGCAGGCGGUCCUUUAAGUCUGAU
rnacentral:rRNA from 1 species